CAACCCUCGAACCCCUCCGGGGGGUCGGCGUUGGGGAUCGGCCCCCCUCUUGCGGGGGCCGUCUCCGAAAUACAGUGGCGGUCUCGCCGCAGCCUCUCCUGCGCAGUAGUUUGCACACUCGCAUCGGGAGCGCGGCGCGUCCACAGCCGUUAAACACCCAACUUCUGAAA
rnacentral:misc_RNA from 1 species